AACGAACGCUGGCGGCAUGCCUAACACAUGCAAGUCGAACGAGACCUUCGGGUCUAGUGGCGCACGGGUGCGUAACGCGUGGGAACCUGCCCUUAGGUUCGGAAUAACUCCCCGAAAGGGGUGCUAAUACCGGAUAAUGUCUUCGGACCAACGAUUUAUCGCCUUUGGAUGGGCCCGCGUUGGAUUAGCUAGUUGGUAGGGUAAAAGCCUACCAAUGCGACGAUCCAUAGCUGGUCUGAGAGGAUGAUCAGCCACACUGGGACUGGGACACGGCCCAGACUACUACGGGAGGCAGCAGUGGGGAAUAUUGGACAAUGGGCGAAAGCCUGAUCCAGCAAUGACGCGUGAGUGAUGAAGGCCUUAGGGUUGUAAAGCUCUUUUACCCGGGAUGAUAAUGACAGUACCGGGAGAAUAAGCUCCGGCUAACUCCGUG
rnacentral:rRNA from 1 species